CCUACGGGAGGCAGCAGUGAGGAAUUUUGGUCAAUGGACGAGAGUCUGAACCAGCCAAGUAGCGUGAAGGAUGACUGCCCUAUGGGUUGUAAACUUCUUUUAUAUGGGAAUAAAAUAUUCCACGUGUGGGAUUUUGUAUGUAACAUAUGAAUAAGGAGCGGCUAACUCCGUUCCAGCAGCCGUGGUAAUACGGAGGAUCCGUGCGUUAUCCGGAUUUAUUGGGUUUAAAGGGAGCGUAGGUGGAUUGUUAAGUCAGUUGUGAAAGUUUGCGGCUCAACCGUAAAAUUGCAGUUGAAACUGGCAGUCUUGAGUACAGUAGAGGUGGGCGGAAUUCGUGGUGUAGCAGUGAAAUGCUUAGAUAUCACGAAGAACUCCGAUUGCGAAGGCAGCUCACUGGACUGCAACUGACACUGAGGCUCGAAAGUGUGGGUAGCAAACAGGAUUAGAUACCCCUGUAGUC
rnacentral:rRNA from 1 species